AUGCCGCGUGAGUGAUGAAGGCCUUAGGGUCGUAAAAGCUCUUUCGCCAGGGAUGAUAAUGACAGUACCUGGUAAAGAAACCCCGGCUAACUCCGUGCCAGCAGCCGCGGUAAUACGGAGGGGGUUAGCGUUGUUCGGAAUUACUGGGCGUAAAGCGAACGUAGGCGGAUUGUAAAGUCGGGGGUGAAAUCCCGGGGCUCAACCCCGGAACUGCCUUUGAAACUGUCUGUCUAGAGUUCUAGAGAGGUGAGUGGAAUUCCGAGUGUAGAGGUGAAAUUCGUAGAUAUUCGGAGGAACACCAGUGGCGAAGGCGACUCACUGGCUCGAUACUGACGCUGAGGUGCGAAAGUGUGGGGAGCAAACAGGAUUAGAUACCCUGGUAGUCCACACCGUAAACGAUGA
rnacentral:rRNA from 1 species